rnacentral:ncRNA from 1 species
UUAAAAUUUUAUUUUGGUUUAUUAAUUUAUUAUUAAUUUAUUUUAUAUGUAAGUUUUUGUGGGGUUAAUUAAUUAUCUAAAAGGUAAUAUAAAUAAUUUAUAUUCGCAGUAAUUAAUAUUAUUAAUUAAAGAAAUUUAGAAAUAGUAAUAUUAAAUAAUAAUGACUAAAUUUGUGCCAGUAGUCUCGGUUAUACAAAUAUUAUAAAUAAAUUUUAUUAAUAUAAGUUAAAUUAAUAUUUUUAAUAACUAAUUUAUAUUAAUUUUAUUAAGUGAAAUUUUAAAAUUAAUUUAAUUAAUAAAUAAAAUGUAUAAAUUGAAGCUUGAAAAUUUUAAAUUUAAACUAGGAUUAGAUACCCUAUUAUUUAAAAUGUAAUUUAUUUAUUAGAGUAGUAAUAGUUAUGAUCUUGAAAUUUAAAAAAUUUGGCGGUAUUUUAGUCUAUUCAGAGGAACUUGUUUUUUAAUCGAUAAUCCACGAUGGACCUAACUUAAUUUUGUUAUCAGUUUGUAUACCGCUGUUAUUUGAAUAUUUUAUUAGAAUUAAAUAAUUUUCAAUAUUUUAAAUUAAAAUUAAUAUCAAGUCAAGGUGCAGCUUAUAGUUAAGUAAUAAUGAGUUACAAUAAAUUAUAUUUAUGGAUAUAAUAUUGAAAUAUAUUAUUGAAAGUGGAUUUGAUAGUAAAAUUUUAUAGAUAAAAAAUUUGAUUAUAGCUCUAAAAUAUGUACACAUCGCCCGUCGCUCUUAUUAUUAAGAUAAGAUAAGUCGUAACAUAGUAGAUGUACUGGAAAGUGUAUCUAGAAUGCC